AUUGAACGCUGGCGGCAGGCCUAACACAUGCAAGUCGAGCGGAUGACGGGAGCUUGCUCCUUGAUUCAGCGGCGGACGGGUGAGUAAUGCCUAGGAAUCUGCCUAGUAGUGGGGGACAACGUUUCGAAAGGAACGCUAACACCGCAUACGUCCUACGGGAGAAAGCAGGGGACCUUCGGGCCUUGCGCUAUCAGAUGAGCCUAGGUCGGAUUAGCUAGUUGGUGGGGUAAUGGCUCACCAAGGCGACGAUCCGUAACUGGUCUGAGAGGAUGAUCAGUCACACUGGAACUGAGACACGGUCCAGACUCCUACGGGAGGCAGCAGUGGGGAAUAUUGGACAAUGGGCGAAAGCCUGAUCCAGCCAUGCCGCGUGUGUGAAGAAGGUCUUCGGAUUGUAAAGCACUUUAAGUUGGGAGGAAGGGCAGUAAGCUAAUACCUUGCUGUUUUGACGUUACCGACAGAAUAAGCACCGGCUAACUCUGUGCCAGCCGCCGCCGUAAUAC
rnacentral:rRNA from 1 species